rnacentral:rRNA from 1 species
UACGGGGGGGGUAAGCGUUGUUCGGAAUUACUGGGCGUAAAGGGCUCGUAGGCGGCCAACUAAGUCAUACGUGAAAUCCCUCAGCUUAACUGGGGAACUGCGUGUGAUACUGGAUGGCUUGGAUUUGGGAGAGGGAUGCGGAAUUCCAGGUGUAGCGGUGAAAUGCGUAGAUAUCUGGAGGAACACCGGUGGCGAAGGCGGCAUCCUGGACCAAUAUUGACGCUGAGGAGCGAAAGCUAGGGGAGCAAACGGGAUUGAGAAAC